rnacentral:rRNA from 1 species
ACCACGGGGGGCAGCAGUGAGGAAUAUUGGUCAAUGGGCUUACGCCUGAACCAGCCAAGUCGCGUGAGGGAAGACUGCCCUAUGGGUUGUAAACCUCUUUUGUCAGGGAGCAAUUGGCGCUACGUGUAGCGUUAUCGAGAGUACCUGAAGAAAAAGCAUCGGCUAACUCCGUGCCAGCAGCCGCGGUAAUACGGAGGAUGCGAGCGUUAUCCGGAUUUAUUGGGUUUAAAGGGUGCGUAGGCGGACUGUCAAGUCAGCGGUAAAAUACGGGGGCUCAACCUCCGCCCGCCGUUGAAACUGACGGU